GCUUUUCUUUAGCUCAGUGGCAGAGCAUUGGUUUUGUAAACCAGCGGUCGUGAGUUCAAUCCUCACAGGAGGCA
rnacentral:tRNA from 1 species